rnacentral:rRNA from 1 species
AUUAAACGCUGGCGGCAUGCCUUACACAUGCAAGUCGAACGGCAGCACGGGGCGAACCUUGGUGGCGAGUGGCGAACGGUGAGUAAAGCAUCGGAACGUGCCCUGGAGUGGGGAUAACGUAGCGAAAGUUACGCUAAUACCGCAUAUUCUGUGAGCAGGAAAGCAGGGAUCGCAAGACCUUGCGCUCUGGGAGCGGCCGAUGUCGGAUUAGCUAGUUGGUGGGGUAAAGGCCUACCAAGGCGACGGUCCGUAGCGGGUCUGAGAGGAUGAUCCGCCACACUGGGACUGAGACACGGCCCAGACUCCUACGGGAGGCAGCAGUGGGGAAUUUUGGACAAUGGGCGAAAGCCUGAUCCAGCCAUGCCGCGUGAGUGAAGAAGGCC